rnacentral:rRNA from 1 species
ACGAAGGGUGCAAGCGUUACUCGGAAUUACUGGGCGUAAAGCGUGCGUAGGUGGUUGUUUAAGUCUGUCGUGAAAGCCCUGGGCUCAACCUGGGAAUUGCGAUGGAUACUGGGCGACUAGAGUGUGGUAGAGGGUGGCGGAAUUCCCGGUGUAGCAGUGAAAUGCGUAGAGAUCGGGAGGAACAUCCGUGGCGAAGGCGGCUCCCUGGGCCGGUCCUGACGCUCAGGCGCGAAAGCGUGGGGAGCGAUCCGGA